rnacentral:rRNA from 1 species
AGAGCGAACGCUGGCGGCAUGCUUAACACAUGCAAGUCGCACGACGGUUUCGGCCGUAGUGGCGGACGGGUGAGUAACGCGUAGGUAUCUAUCCUUGGGUGGGGGAUAACCGUGGGAAACUGCGGCUAAUACCGCAUGACACCUGUGGGUCAAAGGCGCAAGUCGCCUGGGGAGGAGCCUGCGUACGAUUAGCUAGUUGGUGGGGUAAAGGCCUACCAAGGCUACGAUCGUUAGCUGGUCUGAGAGGAUGAUCAGCCACAUUGGGACUGAGACACGGCCCAAACUCCUACGGGAGGCAGCAGUGGGGAAUAUUGGACAAUGGGCGCAAGCCUGAUCCAGCAAUGCCGCGUGGUGAAGAAGGUUUUCGGAUUGUAAAGCCCUUUCGGCGGGACGAUGAUGACGGUACCCGCAGAAGAAGCCCCGGCUAACUUCGUGCCAGCAGCCGAC